AUGUCCACCUGCCUAAUUGACAUGAUCAAUGUCAAUGCUUUAGAUUUCAUUGGUCUUCAAGAGACUAUGAAGAAGGUCUAUAAUCCUGCAUUUUUCAGACAGAUUGAUCCGAAUCAUAAAUUUCGUUGGGAGUGGAAUCCCUCUAGGGGGAAAUCAGGUGGCAUCCUGUGUGGUAUUAGCAAGGAUAAGUUUGAUAUCCUUAUGACCAAAUGUGGUAAAUACAUCCUACAGUUGACCCUGUUCGAUAAGAGCAGGAACUGUAGCUGGGCUUUGAUGAUUGUUUAUGGUGCGGCACAUGAUGAACAGAAGCCUGAAUUCAUUGCGGAACUGUCAUCUAUGUGUCACAGUACAAACAUUCCGUAUCUAGUUGGGGGAGAUUUUAAUAUCAUUAGACAUUGUGGGGAAAAAAACAAAAAAACAUCUAUGUCCCAUUUCUUGGAUGUGUUCAACUCCGUUAUACACCUGCUUGGGUUGAGAGAGAUCUAUAUGACUGGUGGUUGUUACACCUGGUCCAAUAAACAAAAAAACCCGACUCUAGAAAAACUUGAUAGAGUUCUCAUGUCUCCUGACUGGGAAGAUUUAUAUCCUCUCGCUUCUGUUUAUAAGUUGACAAAAGAAAUAUCAGACCACAAUCCUUUGUUGGUUGAUGGUGGGAAUGCC
rnacentral:rRNA from 1 species